rnacentral:rRNA from 1 species
AGCAGUCGCCGCGGUAAUACAGAGGGUGCGAGCGUUAAUCGAAAUUACUGGGCGUAAAGGGCGCGUAGGCGGCGAGAUGUGUGUGGUGUGAAAGCCCCGGGCUUAACCUGGGAAGUGCAUCGCAAACUAUCUGACUGGAGUAUAUGAGAGGGUGGCGGAAUUUCCGGUGUAGCGGUGAAAUGCGUAGAGAUCGGAAGGAACGUCAAUGGCGAAGGCAGCCACCUGGCAUAAUACUGACGCUGAGGCGCGAAAGCGUGGGGAGCGAACAGGAUUAGAUACCCCCGUAGUCCCUGUCUCUUAUAC